rnacentral:rRNA from 1 species
GACGAACGCUGGCGGCAUGCCUAAUACAUGCAAGUCGAGCGAACAGAUGAAGUGCUUGCACUUCUGACGUUAGCGGCGAACGGGUGAGUAACACGUAAGGAAUCUACCUAUAAGCGGGGGAUAACAUUCGGAAACGGGUGCUAAUACCGCAUAAUAUCUUCUUCCGCAUGGAAGAAGAUUGAAAGACGGCUCUGCUGUCACUUAUAGAUGACCUUGCGGUACAUUAGUUAGUUGGUGGGGUAAUGGCCUACCAAGACGAUGAUGCAUAGCUGACCUGAGAGGGUGAUCGGCCACAUUGGGACUGAGACACGGCCCAAACUCCUACGGGAGGCAGCAGUAGGGAAUCUUCCGCAAUGGGCGAAAGCCUGACGGAGCAAUGCCGCGUGAGUGAAGAAGGCCUUCGGGUCGUAAAACUCUGUUAUAAGAGAAGAACAAAUUGUAGAGUAACUGCUACAGUCUUGACGGUAUCUUAUCAGAAAGCCACGGCUAACUACGUGCCAGCCGCCGCAGUAA